rnacentral:rRNA from 2 species
CGCGAAGAACCUUACCUGGGCUUGACAUCACCGAAAUCACCUUUAUACGGUGAGUGCCUCGAUUUAUCGAGGAAUCGUGUGACAGGUGCUGCAUGGCUGUCGUCAGUUCGUGUCGUGAGAUGUUGGGUUAAGUCCCGCAACGAACGCAACCCCUGUCUUUAGUUACCAGCAUUAAGUUGGGGACUCUAGAGAGACUGCCAAGGUGACAACUUGGAGGAAGGUGGGGACGACGUCAAGUCAUCAUGGUCCUUACGUCCAGGGCUAGAAACGUACUACAAUGGUUGGCACAGAGGGCAGCAACACAGCGAUGUGAAGCAAAUCCUUAAAACCAACCUCAGUUCGGAUUGGAGUCUGCAACUCGACUCCAUGAAGUUGGAAUCGCUAGUAAUCGCGGAUCAGCAAUGCCGCGGUGAAUACGUUCCCGGGUCUUGUACACACCGCCCGUCAAGUCAACCGAGUUAUU